GUUUCUAGGCAGAGAUACUGGAAUUGUUUGUCAUUUCCUUCUCCAUCCCAUUUUACAGAUGAAGAAACUGAGGCAAGAAAGGUUAGGUGACUUGCUCAGAGCCACACAGGUCUGAAGUCUAGUGUCUGAAGCUGGAUUUGAACCCAAGAAGAUGAGUCUUCCUGAUUCCAACCAAGCCUAGUGCUCUAUCCACUGUGUCAUCUAACUGUCCUAAAAAUGGCUAUGAAGAAUUAGAGUCAUUGAAGUCCACCAGCAAGACAAAAGUCAGGAUGAGUGGUGUGGCUUGGGUUGCAUUAGAUGACCUUGGUUCCACAGCCUGUUUCAGCCACCUUGAUGUGUGUAGGAACAAACUGUUCUCAUCCACCCAUUCCAUCAGGGAGAGACCCAGAGAAGGUGACUCUCCCAUGUUCUGGAGUUUGCUGCAACAGCACUACGUUACCUAUAAACAGGAGCAUGUUGAGGACCUCAAGGAAAUCCCACUUCAAUUUUGAUGUUACUCUGCACAUUCUACAUGAUGGAAAAUAUCUUGGGGGGAAGGUUUCAGAAAACAGGACUGUAUUGGUACCUUCAUGAUCAGUAGGGGUGAAGGAAGAAGUAAAAGGAUGCCCGAGGGAAGAAAAAGAAGAAUCUAGGGAACUGAAAAAUAAACAGAUGGC
rnacentral:lncRNA from 1 species